UUGCAAUGAGAGGCGGGCACCCUGGGUCCACCUCCCAUUCCGUGGUCUAUUCUGUACCUGGUUGCUUCGGCGUGGCCACGGCCCGCCGAAGACUAACAUUUGAACACUAGUCUGAAGUUUGCAGUCUGAGUUUUUAGUUAAACAAUAAUUAAAACUUUCAACAACGGAUCUCUUGGUUCCGGCAUCGAUGAAGAACGCAGCGAAAUGCGAUAAUUAAUGUGAAUUGCAGAAUUCAGUGAAUCAUCGAGUCUUUGAACGCACAUUGCGCCCCCUGGUAUUCCGGGGGGCAUGCCUGUCCGAGCGUCAUUGCUGCCCUCAAGCACGGCUUGUGUGUUGGGCUUCCGUCCCUGGUAACGGGGACGGGCCCAAAAGGCAGUGGCGGCACCAUGUCUGGUCCUCGAGCGUAUGGGGCUUUGUCACCCGCUCCCGUAGGUCCAGCUGGCAGCUAGCCUCGCAACCAAUCUUUUUAACCAGGUUGACCUCGGAUCAGGUAGGGAUACCCGCUGAACUUAAGCAUAUCAAAACGGGGAAGGAAAAGAUCCUUAACGAGUGCCGGCCCUCUGGGGUCCAACCUCCAUCCGUGUCUAUCUGUACCCUGUUGCUUCGGCGUGGCCACGGUCGCCAACACUAACAUUUGAACACUGUCUGAAGUUUGCAGUCUGAGUUUUUAGUUUAACAAUAAUUAAAACUUUUCACAGGAUCUUUGAGUAUCGCAUGAUGAAGAACGCACGAAAUGACGUAUAUUAAUGUGAAUUGCAGAAUUCAUUGAAAUCAUCAGUCUUUGCAAGGCAUUGGCUCGUGGUAUUCGGGGGGCAUGCUGUCGAGGCGUCAUGCUGCCUCACCGGGCUGGGUUGUUUGGGCCUUCCUUCUGGGUAACGGGGGACAGGGCCAAAGGAGAUGGGCACCAUGUCUGGUCCUCAGGUAUGGGGGCUUUGUUACCCUCGUAGAUCAGCUGGCACUAGCUCCACCAUCUUUACCAGGUGACCUCGGAUCAGUAGGGAUACCGCUGACUAGCAUAGUAGCGAGAGGGAGAAUU
rnacentral:rRNA from 1 species